UACUUCAGCUACAGUGUAUUAGACUAGUUCUUCUGAAGUGAAAUAUUGUGAGUUAUACUAUAAUGAGUGAAAGUGUAAUGCAUUAACAUUUUUAUGAUUUGGAAUAAAGUGAUUCAUAAGGAGAAAAUUGUUCGUUUCUACGUCUUAUAACUUCAGACGCGGGAUAAUGAUAACAAGAAACUGUGAAAAUAUUAUGGCGAUGACAGGUCGCUAUGGGACAAAGUAGUAGUGCAAUGAAGAUAUCAGCAACAUUGCUUGUUCUUCUGCAUUUGUCUAUGCAUGUGGUAGACGAAGGGCAAGCUGUCAAUCCUAGUA